AGCUUGGCAUGGAUGCCAAGCUAGCUUUCGUUAGGCCACGGAUGGCCUAUCGGAAGCG
rfam:Shewanella sp. P1-14-1 AN944_contig000005, whole genome shotgun sequence.